rnacentral:rRNA from 1 species
AUUGAACGCUGGCGGCAUGCUUUACACAUGCAAGUCGAACGGCAGCACGGGCUUCGGCCUGGUGGCGAGUGGCGAACGGGUGAGUAAUGCAUCGGAACGUGCCCAUGUUGUGGGGGAUAACUACGCGAAAGCGUGGCUAAUACCGCAUACGCCCUGAGGGGGAAAGCGGGGGGAUUCUUCGGAACCUCGCGCAAUUGGAGCGGCCGAUGUCAGAUUAGCUUGUUGUGGGUAAAGCCUACCAAGGCGACGAUCUGUAGCUGGUCUGAGAGGACGACCAGCCACACUGGGACUGAGACACGGCCCAGACUCCUACGGGAGGCAGCAGUGGGGAAUUUUGCACAAUGGGCGAAAGCCUGAUGCAGCGACGCCGCGUGAGUGAUGAAGUAUUUCGGUAUGUAAAGCUCUAUCAGCAAGGAAGAUAAUGACGGUACUUGACUAAGAAGCCCCGGCUAAAUACGUGCCAGCAGCCGCGGUAAAGUAGUCG